CUUAAUUUAGAGGCUCAAGUUAUUGAGAAGUCUGUUGAAGCCAAUAAGAAACCUGCAUAAAGGAAGAAACCUUCAACAACAGAACCAAACGCUAAAAAUCCGAAGAAGUUGAGAAGGGGAAAUAUCCUAAUGCACCCAAACGUCCUCCUAUUUCCUUCUUUUUGUUCAUAUAAUGACCCUUGGUUUACUGUUUCUUUUUCCUUGUGUUAAUUAAUCCCAGGGGUAGUGCUUAUAGGUUUCCCUUGUUACUUUUUUAGGGAU